UACGUAGGGUGCAAGCGUUAAUCGGAAUUACUGGGCGUAAAGCGUGCGCAGGCGGCUUUGCAAGACAGAUGUGAAAUCCCCGGGCUUAACCUGGGAACUGCAUUUGUGACUGCAAGGCUAGAGUACGGUAGAGGGGGAUGGAAUUCCGCGUGUAGCAGUGAAAUGCGUAGAUAUGCGGAGGAACACCGAUGGCGAAGGCAAUCCCCUGGACCGGUAUUGACACUGAGGCGCGAAAGCCAGGGGAGCAAACGGG
rnacentral:rRNA from 1 species